rnacentral:misc_RNA from 1 species
UUAUUAUUAUUAUUAUUAUUAGUAGUAGACGACCCCACCUGUCUAUCAAUUCUUUUCCCUUAAUGCUUUGCAAGGUUUUAAAGUGAGACAGCUGUAAAAUUGUUCUAAUUAUAUAGUCCAAAUUCAAGGAAGUCCAAUGGAUGCGCAUUUCUUAGAUGCUUCUGGUCCCCAGCAAAAAUUGACUCUGAUCUGAUUCUCCACCAUUUCUUAACCUGCAAAUCACCAAACAAAUACGUUAGAGCUCAAGCCACCAAUCAACCAUACAAGUUUUUACCACAUAAA